GUUAAAUGAGCAGCGCUACAGAGCAGUUCCACAGACAUGUGUGUGUGUGUACGGCUAGCAUGAAAAAGCACCUGCCUUUAGAAUGGCAAAAAGGUACGGUGUGCUAAAACCUGAUCUUGAUCCAAUCAUUCUGGUUCUCCAUCUGUUUUCCCCCCAUAAUGCACUGGGGCUGGCAGAUGCUCCAUAACUCCAGGAAUACGGGAAGCGGAUUGAUGGUCUUGCGAAUGUCAAUUGAAUCCAACAUGAUGGAUUACAGACGGGAAGAAGACGGUGACUUGUACCAACAAUACGUCUACAACAGCAGAAUCAGAGAGACUCCGACCGCCUAGCCGCAGACCGGGAUGAGAGGGAGACAAUAAGAACAGAGAACAACGACAACAACCGCAGGAUUCUUUGGUGCUAGCAGUGAUGGCUCCACACUUAACCUAGUGUCUGCCAGACUGUCCACUCUCACUUCCCUGUCUCAACUCCGUGUCUCAUGUCCCUGUCUCUUUUUUGUGAGUGAUUGUGUGUGCGUGUGUGUGUGUGUGUGUGUGUGUGUGUGUGUGUGUGUGUGUGUGUGUGUGUGUGUAUGUCCCUCUGUCGGUGUGUGUGCCCGUUUGCGUGUGUGUGUCUCUCUCUGUCUGUGAGUGUGUAUGUGUGUGUGUGUCUCUGUUGGUGAGUGUGUAUGUGUGUGUGUGUCCCUCUCUGAUGAUGCGAGAGUGUGUAUGUGUGUGUCUCUCUCUGUCGUAGUGUGCGUGUGUCUCUCUGUCGGUGUGUGUGUUUGUGUCUCUCUCUGUCGGUGUGUGUGUCUCUCUGUCAGUGCCUGCGUUUGUGUGUCUCUGUCGGUGUGUGUUUGUCUCUGUGUGUGUCUCUCUGUCGGUGUGUGUGUCUCUGUGUGUGUCUCUCUCUCGGUCGGUGUGUGUGUUUGUGUGUGUGUGUGUGUGUGUGUGUGUGUGUCUCUGUGUGUGUCUCUCUCUCGGUUGGUGUGUGUCUCUCGGUCGGUGUGUGUGUGUAUGUGUGUCUUUCCCUGUCGUUGUUUGUGUGUGAGUGUGUCGGUCUCUGUGUGUGUGUGUGUGUGUGUGUGUGUGUGUGUGUGUGUGCGUGUCACGGGAUAUUUUCACUUUACGGCGUGGGGCGGCAGACCGCGCCAAGAAUGUCAUCGCCGUGGUGAUUUACGGCAAACAAAGCCAAGUAAAAUAAACGCGAGCGAUGCCAAUAAACAUAAACAAUACGUGUAUGUUUUAGUUCAGGUCCUAAUGGACUGAACAAACACCAAGGCAGCAGGCCCAUUCCCCUCUCCUCUGUCGAGUUUGUCUAGGAACAGAUGUUAUGUACAGUAGACUCAAAGUGUUCCUGACGUUAACUCGUUCAACAGAAGCCCUCAAGUGAAAUCUGUUUACAUUUUACUCUGUUUUUAUCUCAUUAACACCCCUUCCAAUUAAAACACCCAGCCCUCAUGUGAUUAAAGCCACGAAUGGGUUUGGAUUGGAAAGUGUUUGCUUAAAAAUGUUGAGUAUGUGAGAGAGGUUUCAGCCAAGAGCUUUAAUGAAUACUUACAUCACUGGGACACAGCAGCAGCGGCAACACACGCACACACAC
ensembl:lncRNA